rnacentral:rRNA from 1 species
ACGGAGGGUGCAAGCGUUAUUCGGAAUCACUGGGCGUAAAGCGCGUGUAGGCGGUCCUGCAAGUCUGAUGUGAAAGCCCCGGGCUUAACCCGGGAAGAGCAUUGGAAACUGCAGGUCUUGAGUACUGGAGAGGAUGGGGGAAUUCCCGGUGUAGAGGUGAAAUGCGUAGAGAUCGGGAGGAAUAUCGGUGGCGAAGGCGCCCAACUGGGCGAUAACUGACGCUGAGACGCGAAAGCGUGGGGAGCAAACAG